CAAUGCCUCUCACCUUGUCGGUACUGUAUGUUCACACCCAUGGUUGCAUCAAAACGGCGGGUCUACGCGACGUUCGGAAGCAUAAAGAUCUUCCCACGAACGCCUCUCUAUCUCUCCUCGGGCGAUCUGCGGAGUCUGACCACCCCCCAGAUCUGAUCGAACCAACCGCUGCGUGCCAACUAUAUCUCGGGUCAACCUGUUCUUUUAUUUCGUCCUCCGACGUUCUCUGUUCGUGCUUUGGUAGUCAUCAUUGGAUUGCAGAACAAGGAGGGUGAUUCAGAGGUCCCCGUUGAUUGAUACUGACAAUUGAUCUUGUCGGUUCGGAUGGUUGGUUAUCCUUUCCUUUUUUGUUUAUGGGAGAUUUCUUGGCCUGGUUGGUGACCGACGAAAAGGUGGGAUUUGGUUUUCGGUAGCUGGUAGGCCUGAAUUUGGUGUUAGUGAAGAUGGGCACCUCUGAUUGGUUCCUCUUAACGUUGCUUGAUGUGGAGUUGGGCGUUUCCAGGACAUGGAUUCAGUAAUCGAUUAUGCUCGACGGAAUUAUUGUAAUUAUGGCAACCAUUCGGAUAGGAUGCUCUGUCUCGAUUAGUUCGACUAUAUUAUGAUUGUUCAUUUUUGAGUGGCGACUGGUGAGUGGUUGCCUGGGACGUCCGCGACAGCGAGAGAGAGGCCAAUGGGAGAAGGCAGUCACGUGGAUGCGGAGAAGAAUGAAGAGUGUGAAGAUAGAGGAGCAAGGUCGGAAACCGCUGUGCCGGUUCUCCGAAAGGAGCCAUCCUUCUCGAGGUGGUGCGGUGAAGUUGGGGCGGAUGGUUCCGCAGAGUCGAGCGAUCGGUCGAAGAACGGCCUAGAGGAUGGUGAUUUUGAGCUGCCAUUGCCUCUGGUAGAUGGGAAUGAAAGUGGGGUUUCAGAUAGUGACAGAAGAAACUCGGUUGAGAUCGAUCACUUGGAUAAAAGAUCUAACAGUUUCCGGCAGAGAAGCAUCCAUUUGAACGGUGGCCUGAUGGGAGAGGACUCAAUGAGUGCAGGAAACUCGGGUUCACCACGUAAUAACGAUGAUAUUGCUGGAAACGGGAAGAAAUUUUCUUCGUUUUAUGUUGAAAAUGAGAGCAGUAGUAGGUCAGGGAGUCCACGGCUAUGGGUUACACCCCCUAGAGAUAGGAUUUUUUCUGAUUUCAAGGUUGAGAACGAUGAUUCAAAAGGUACAAGUGAAACGAGCAUUUCCGCAGCAACGGUUAUUAGAACGUUGCUCCUUAUACUUGUGUGGUAUACUUUCAGCACAUGUUUGACACUGUACAACAAAACUCUCUUGGGAGAUCACUUGGGCAAAUUCCCUGCUCCAUUCCUCAUGAACACGGUCCACUUUACAAUGCAAGCUGUUUUGUCAAAGGCUAUUCUAUGGUUCUGGUCUGAGAGAUUCGAAAAUAAUGGAAUCAUGUCUUGGAGGGACUACUUCAUAAGGGUUGUGCCAACUGCUCUUGGGACUGCACUGGACAUAAAUUUAAGCAAUGCAUCCCUUGUUUUCAUAUCUGUGACGUUUGCUACUAUGUGUAAAUCUGCUGCUCCAGUUUUUCUUCUGUUGUUCGCUUUUGCAUUCAAGUUGGAAUCUCCAAGUAUAAAGCUUUUUGGAAUAAUAUUCAUAAUCUCCACCGGCGUUCUCUUAACAGUGGCAAAAGAAACAGAGUUUGAGUUUUGGGGAUUUCUUUUUGUCAUGCUUGCUGCUGUCAUGUCAGGAUUCCGUUGGUCAAUGACUCAGAUUCUUUUACAGAGGGAAGCUUAUGGGUUGAAGAAUCCCAUCACUUUGAUGAGCUAUGUCACUCCAGUUAUGGCACUCGUUACUGCUCUGCUUUCCUUAAUGUUUGAUCCUUGGAUUAACUUUAAGCAGAACUACUACUUUAAUGGUUCAUGGCAUAUUGUUCGAAGUUGCUUGCUGAUGCUUCUGGGAGGGGGUUUAGCUUUUUUUAUGGUUCUAACGGAGUAUAUUCUUGUUUCAGCAACUAGUGCAGUGACAGUCACAAUUGCAGGUGUUGUCAAGGAGGCUGUCACCAUAGUGGUUGCAGUAUUUUACUUCCAUGAUGAGUUUACACUAUUGAAAGGAUUUGGUCUUUUGACAAUAAUGGUUGGUGUCAGCUUGUUCAACUGGUACAAGUACCAGAAGCUGCAAAAAGGCCAGCUUGGACAUGGAGAAUCUUUUGAGUCCCCACAUACCAAUGGCUCGGUAAAGUAUGUCAUUCUUGAUAAUAUGGAUGAGGAAGCUUGAAAAAGAAAUACAAGUAAAACAUUGAGGAUUGAUGGUUUCAUCGAUGAGCAAGGGAAUCCUCAUUUCAAGGCACCCAAAAAAAAACAGAAGUUUGAGAAACAAAUGGCUUCUUUGUCAUUUGGUUACCAACCAGGUGCAAGGACCAGAUGCAGAAACAAAUUUGGAAACUGUGUUACAAGUUUCAUAUAAUUGUAGCUGUAGAAUGAUUCAGAUGGUUGAAGAGAUUUUGUUGCUCUAAUGGAUAAGAAGCUGGUUACUGUCCGUCAUUUUAAAAUUUAAACAUUACACUGAUGUACGAGCCCCAGUCGGUCAGUGGAGUCGAGCUGAGGAUGCCACUAAAGCAGGCAUUAUGAGGCUUCAUCAUGUCAGUGGCUAUGAGCAAAAAGCUGGUGUAUUUAGAGUUUUGUCCUCUUUCAUAUUCAACACAAUGGCGGUGGUAGCAGUUAGUAGCAUGCCACGUAUUGAAUUAGAAGUUCUUUGUUCUCACUGGUACCGUCUAUCCAUCUCCGUUGCAAUACAUUCUCUGGCAGUGCAGCUGUGCACGUGUCUACUGGUGAUCCCUUGUCUUCAGCAAAUCUGUAUGCCGUCUGAUAUUAGAUACUUGGGGGACAUUGCAAAACUUGGAGAGUUGGUUUGCUGCAAGAUUAGAUUGUACCAUGCAAAAAGGUUGCUUGGAUAGUUUACGACUUUGUUGCACUCUCUACCACUGGAGAAGUUGCUGAAUCUCAUUUUUGUCAAAAAUGUAAUUUUUUUUUUGACAACUCGGUGAAAGAUCAAGCUGAUUGAGCCGUCUCAUGCAUUUGCUUAAGAUUGUAUUUUUAAUUUUAAUUUUUUUUUCUUUGUUGAAAUAUCUGCUAGAUGUACAGCAACACGACACGCCAAGUUGUAAGAAUUGAUACUUGCAUUUUAAAGAUUGUACUUACUAUGAUCCAUGUUAAAUGUCAA